GCGGGGUGGGAGGGCGCUCCGGGUCUCAUUUGCAUGGGGCGCCCGGGAACGCGGCCCUGCGGGAGCGCGCGGCCUUCCCAAGGCGGCGGCGCGAGGCGGCCUGAGAGUGCGCCCGCGUGCACGUCCGCUCCCCCUCCCCCACUCCGCAGAGGACGACCCCAGAUCCUGCGAAGGCCUCAGGGCUCCUUAAACUUGUGGGGCUGGCGCGACCCCUAGAAUCCCGACCUCGAGUCCCGGGGCCACCGCCCUCCCUGCUUGUGGGGCGGGACGCAGGAACACGCCGGACGCCGGACCCCGGACCAAAGGCCCCAGGGCCCGACUCAUGGAGGCGCCCAGUAACUUUGAAGUGAAAGACUGUUGAAGACCCCUGGCUCGCGUGAGUCGAGCUCCUAGGAGACGAACUCCUAAACCAGAGUUGGGGCUGGGAGCGUCCGCUUUGAACAUCUAGUUCCACCCCGAGACGAUUUCCACCCAGCUCAGGUCCUCAUGCCCCUUCCUUUGGAGUCCUCUUCUGUAACCUCUCACUGUUGAGAGACACCUUGCAAGACAAGAGGACUUAAAAUCUUACAUGUUACUACUGCCCAGCACAAAGGAAAGGCUGACUGCCACGUGCAGCGCCUCAGUUGGAUGUGUCUAGAGUCUUCAAAGCUUGACUACCCUACGUUCUCCUAACAAAUGGACCUUGAGAGCUUGUUUGGAGGGUCUAGCAGGGGAGCACAACUACUCGUAUACCUUUGACCGAAGAAUAGUCCUCCUCUGUCGGGGAAGGUCGUCCUCUUCGACCGAGCGUGCAGCUUCGGGAGGGACGCACAUGGAGUGG